GACAGAGGCCACAAGCGUUAGGCGGAAUUACUGGGCGUAAAGGGCGCGUAGGCGGCACUGUUAGUCAGGCGUGAAAGUCCUGGGCUCAACCUGGGAACUGCGCUUGAUACGGCAGAGCUAGAGGAUGGAAGAGGGUCGCGGAAUUCCCAGUGUAGAGGUGAAAUUCGUAGAUAUUGGGAAGAACACCGGUGGCGAAGGCGGCGACCUGGUCCAUUACUGACGCUGAGGCGCGACAGCGUGGGGAGCAAACAGG
rnacentral:rRNA from 1 species